GACGAACGCUGGCGGCGCGCUUAACACAUGCAAGUCGAGCGAAGCGGCGGAGGGGUGAGUAACACGUGAGUAACCUGCCUAAGACAUUGGGAUAGCCCCGGGAACGCGGGAUUAAUACCAAAUGGUCUAAGAUGGACUCGCGUCCCAUUAGCGAGUUGGUGAGGUAACGGCCCAACAAGGCGACGAAGGGUAGCCGGCCUGAGAGGGGGAACGGCUACAUUGGAACUGAGGAACGGACCAAACUCUACGGGAGGCAGCAGUGGGGAAUAUUGCACAAUGGAGGGAACUCUGAGGCAGCGACGCCGCGGGAACGAAGAAGGCUUUCGAGUCGUACAGUUCUUUGAUAUGGGAAGCGGUACCAUAAGAAAAAGCCCCGGCUAACUACGUGCCAGCAGCCGCGGUAAUAC
rnacentral:rRNA from 1 species